GCGCCGGUGGUGUAAGGCGAACAUCGCUGCCCGGAAAGCAGAAAAUGCGGGUUCGAGUCCCGCCUGGGGCA
rnacentral:tRNA from 1 species